AUAGUACUCCCUCCGUCUGGAAAUACUUGUCAUCAAAAUGAAUAAAAGGAGAUGUAUCUAGAUGUAUUUUAGUUCUAGAUACAUCUUUUUUUGUCCAUUUUGAUGACAAGUAUUUCCGGACGGAGGGAGUACUGC
rnacentral:pre_miRNA from 1 species